rnacentral:lncRNA from 1 species
CUUUGAUGAAUUUCUCUGUCUUGCCUCUGAUGAGUUGAUCGGUGUUCUGCAGUGACGUCAUUUAGUGGCGUGCAGUUGGACUUCUAGCACCAACUAUGUUAUCUAACGUUAAGCUUUUCUACUUCUUCCCUAGCAUUUGGGAAGCUGCCUGAUGGUGAUACCCGUAGUGAAUCUCUUAAAGGAGACCUCUUCAGAUCAGCACAGGAAGGAUUUUGGGC